CCUGCAUUACCCAAACACACUAAACACAUUAGCCCUUACAUUACCCGAACACACUAAACACAUUAACCCUUACAUUACCCGAACACACUACACUACAUCAGAAGACACUAAAUAAAAAAAUUAACCCCUACAAUACCCAAACACACUAAACACAUUAACCUUUACAUUACCAGAUCACACUGUACUAUCCCUACACAUAACCCCCCACAUUAGCAGGGUUAAUGCUAUUUAAGGGUUCUUUAAAAUGUAACCCUUUAAACCCUUUGAUCUUGUGGUUUAUCAAGAUGCCUCCAGAAGCCCUGGAAGUCAUUAUUCUCCCACAAUACAAGGUUCACUGUUACGUAUAGAUAUACACUAGCUGUAUAGUUGUAGAAUUCAUA